UGGCAAAAGGGUGAGUAACACAUGAGCAAUUUACCCUUGAGUGGGGAACAACCUUGGGAAACCGAGGCUAAAACCGCAUAAGACCACGAUCGGGCAUCCGAUUGUGAUCAAAGGGGGGGACCGCAAGGCCUCUCGCUCGAGGAUGAGCUCGUGUCCUAUCAGCUUGUUGGUGAGGUAACGGCCCACCAAGGCUUUUGACGGGUAGCUGGUCUGAGAGGAUGGUCAGCCACAUUGGGACUGAGACACUGCCCAGACUCCUACGGGAGGCUGCAGUCGAGGAUAUUUAGCAAUGCCGGAAACGGUGACUAUGCGACGCCGCGUGUGCGAUGAAGGUCUUCGGAUCGUAAAACACUGUCGGCCGGGAGGAAUCUCUGGAGGACUAAUAGUCCUGCAGGGUGACAGUACCGGCAAAGGAAGCCACGGCUAACUCCGUGCCAGCAGCCGCGGUAAUACGGAGGUGGCAGGCGUUACUCGGAUUGAUUGGGUGUAAAGGGUGUGUAGGUGGUGAACUAAGUCGAAUGUGAAAGCCCUUGGCUUAACCAAGGAACUGCAUUCGAAACUGGUUCGCUUGAGCGUCAGAGAGGAAGAUGGAAUUCACGGUGUAACAGUGAAAUGUGUAGAUAUCGUGAGGAACACCAGUGGCGAAGGCGAUCUUCUGGCUGACUGCUGACACUGAAACACGAGAGCAAGGGGAGCAAACAGGAUUAGAUACCCUGGUAUUCCUUGCCGUAAACGAUGUACACUAGGUGUCGGGCCCUCUGGGUUCGGUGCCGCAGUUAACACAUUAAGUGUACCACCUGGGGAGUACGGUCGCAAGACUGAAACUCAAGGAAUUGACGGGGACCCGCACAAGCGGUGGAGCAUGUGGUUUAAUACG
rnacentral:rRNA from 1 species